rnacentral:tRNA from 1 species
GGGGCCAUGGGCUAGUCUGGUAUGCUACCAGGUUUGGGACCUGGCGACCUGAGUUCAAAUCUCAGUGGCCCCA